rnacentral:misc_RNA from 1 species
UUGAAAUGCUUAAAAAUAUUAGGAUUAAUAUUCGACAAAAGAUUAAUUUGGGCUUACUAUCUUAAAAAUCUCAAAAUCGAUUAUUCCAUACAGAAUCAACAUUCUGGCGCAAAUAUAUACAUAUACAUAAAAUAAUAGAUCUAUGAUCUGUAAUUUAAAUAAUCGAUAGCUAUUAAAUAUAUUAAAUUCUAUCUAGAUUUCUUGUUUAAAAAUAAUCUCCGCAUUCCACGCUCCUUUAUACAGCAUUUUUAGUGAAUUAAACGCAUUGGACAUUAAGUGUAAACUAUUAUGCUUAUCACAUGUUUUGUCUGCCGCAACUACACCUAAAAACCUGGCAUCUAACUACAUUUGGACGAGCUACCCAAACCUCCACAAAUCUCAUUUAUAGGAAAAAGGAGGACGUAAUCCUUUUUGUACGUGAAUGUAUCCUCAAUGGAAUUCGUUUGAAAUUCUUUCAAAAUCAAUUUGGAAUAACCAACAAAAAAGGUACCAACUGUAAGAGAUUUAAAAUCGCAUUCCAGGAUUACAUCAAUCCUACUAGCACUACUUUUUUUACAUUGAUAGGUCUAGAUUUUCCGAGUCAGUUCGAUAUGCUGUUGUAACAGACAAUUAUACCUCUACCUAUAGAGUAUCCACUACUUCUUUGUUCUGUGAUAUACAAGCUAUGAAAAAUGCUUCAAUAUAUGCAAAAUGCAUAUACAUUAACACCAAUGAUUUCAAUAAUCGAAAUCUUGAAUGAAAGAUCUCAAAAUCAGUACUCUUUCAUUCAAUACAUGUAAAAUAUUGUAUUAUU